rnacentral:tRNA from 1 species
GCGGGCGUAAUUCAAUGGUAGAAUGGAAGCUUCCCAAGCUUUCUACGAGGGUUCGAUUCCCUUCGCCCGCUCCA